AUUGAACGCUGGCGGCAGGCCUAACACAUGCAAGUCGAACGAGUGGCGGACGGGUGAGUAAUGUCUGGGAAACUGCCUGAUGGAGGGGGAUAACUACUGGAAACGGUAGCUAAUACCGCAUACCAUAAGAUGUGCCCAGAUGGGCUUAGCUAGUUGGUGGGGUAACGGCUCCCCAAGGCGACGAUCCCUAGCAGGUCUGAGAGGAUGACCAGCCACACUGGAACGUAGACACGGUCCAGAUUCCUGCGGUAGGCAGCAGUGGGGAAUAUUGCACAAUGGGCGAAAGCCUGAUGCAGCCAUGCCGCGUGUAGGAAGAAGGCCUUCGGGUUGUAAAGUACUUUCAGCGGGGAGGCGUUACCCGCAGAAGAAGCACCGGCUAACUCCGUGCCAGCCGCCGCGGUAAUAC
rnacentral:rRNA from 1 species